GCGGUUCUAGAGGCGGGGCCACAGGGGCCUGGGCCCCUGCUGAAAUCUGAUUGGCCCCUGAUUGGCCCCCCUUCCAUCAAUCGUCGACGAGAAGAGCAACCGGAGAAUUUUUUUCCACAACGAUCACAGAUGCAAUUCCACCCCCAAACAAUUGGCGGCACUGCGGUAGUAAUGUGGCAAUGUAAUUUGGGAGAAGAAGCAGUGCUUGAAACUAAUGCGCAAAAUCGGAACUUUUGACUACCAGAACAUCGUCGGUGAUGUUGCCUGUAUACAUGAGACAUAAUCCAUCAAACAGUAAUCCAACUUAGAGACAACUUUUGACAUUCCCUGGUGCCUAGCAGAAAAGUUGUGCUGCUCCACCUGGACCUGAUGACAUUUCCCAGUCCAGAGCAGAUGGUCCAGUGCAACCUGUCCUCAAGGUUUACCCCAAGACACAGCAUGGGAACAGGAAGAGAGCAUUCAUUGAGACCUGGCAAAAGACUUUACGUGGCUGCAGUAUUCUGUGUUUGGAGCAGUCUUAUAUCCAUAAAUAAAUAAAAAAAAUAAUUAAGAACUUUACUGGCACAUUUUUUUGAAAAAUUAAUAACUGCCGAACUGUAUUUGCACCGUACUGAAUAAAUUAUUUUGUGUGCAUGGA